rnacentral:misc_RNA from 1 species
UCCGGUUUGUCACCGGCAGUAUCCCAUGAGUCCCCAACUAAAUGCUGGCAACAUGGGACAAGGGUUGCGCUCGUUGCGGGACUUAACCCAACAUCUCACGACACGAGCUGACGACAGCCAUGCAGCACCUGUGUCUAGGUUCCCUUUCGGGCACUCCUGCAUUUCUGCAGGAUUCCUAGCAUGUCAAGGGUAGGUAAGGUUUUUCGCGUUGCAUCGAAUUAAACCACAUCAUCCACCGCUUGUGCGGGCCCCCGUCAAUUUCUUUGAGUUUUAAUCUUGCGACCGUACUUCCCAGGCGGCACGCUUAUCGCGUUAGCUUCGCCACAGAAGGGGUCGAUUCCUCCUACAGCAAGCAUGCACCGUUUAGGGCUAGGACUAC